rnacentral:misc_RNA from 1 species
GGAGAAUCCAAGAAGUCUAAUGUCACACGCAUAACACCCCUAUGUUCCAAAAAGAACGAUUUUUUGCAUUUCUAGGAGUAGGAGGAUAUGCCUUCCACUCCAGUGUCUUAGCUAUAAAAAGCGUUGGCUUGGUAAAUGCUGCCAUUUGAUAUUUUCACCCAUAUUAGGAAACCGAUGAUUGCAGAUUAAACUUUUAUCUAAUCAUGAGGUUUAACACUAAGUAGUCCCUUAAUUAGUAUCUUCCAAAAUCCAAGCUUGCUGCUUCUUAUAAAAAACAUUCAACAGAUGAACUUGCAAAUUACGGAUGACAAUCUACACAUUGCAACAAUGUUUUACUUGAGUUCAUAUCUAGUUAAUUGGGCCCUAAUUUUGCUCUGCUUAUCUUCAUUCUUGUAGAAAAUGGAAUAGAAGCUUGGAAUUGGAAGAAAAGUAGAAAGCUUUUACUGUUUUACUUCCCUGUACAUCAACGAGUAUUUGUCAUGAUCUGUGCCAGCAUUCAUAAUGGGGUCAAAUGAAAUUGGGGCUCCUUCUCACUGCAUAGAUACGGAAGGCCCGAGUCUCCCACACCAAUCCUGCGGAAGUUCACAUUCUAUUAAGGUGUGUGCGGACUUGAGAAAUGUCAUUUUGAACUGCCCUCUCCAGAAAGAGUAUGAACAUUUCUUCCGACCCGCAAUUUUUCAGAACAAGGACAAAAACCUGAUCCGGAGCUGGUCCCAUCUGUAAUUUCCCCCUGUUGAAAGGCGCAAGUAAAUGUAAAUGUACAACCCAAACUCAAUUCAUAGUCUUCUGUUUCUAACCUAUGCCUGCUCCUCCCUGCUCAUUCCAUGUUUAGAGAUGAUAAGUAAUCAUUUAAGACUAGAAGCUCACAUACAUGACCUAGGGAACAAUUUGAACCUGCAGAUGCAAAAAUAGAGGGUUUAUAAAGCAUACUACUGAACAAGAAAGAGAAGUGCAGGGCAAUAUAUCUUCUCCGUUGCUGCUUGAGGUCCAUGUCCCCGUUGGAUUUACAAACCAAAAAAAAAACAAAAAUCAAUUGUUGAGUCGUCCUAUAAAGGAAGUCGUCCUAUAAAGGAAGAGACUAUCUUAUAAUGCUAUAUAGCGUGAUAAGAAUAUUACAUUGCAAUGUGAUCCGCAGAGCUAUUGAGAACACAUAUUUGGACAAGACAACUCAUGAUUCUGAUGCUGAUUAAAUCACACA